rnacentral:rRNA from 1 species
CCUACGGGUGGCAGCAGUGGGGAAUAUUGGACAAUGGGGGCAACCCUGAUCCAGCAAUGCCGCGUGUGUGAAGAAGGCCUGCGGGUUGUAAAGCACUUUCGGCCGGGAAGAAAAGCCCAAGGCUAAUAUCCUUGGGUCUUGACGUUACCGGAAGAAGAAGCACCGGCUAACUCCGUGCCAGCAGCCGCGGUAAUACGGAGGGUGCAAGCGUUAAUCGGAAUUACUGGGCGUAAAGCGCGCGUAGGCGGUUCGAUGAGUCGGGUGUGAAAGCCCCGGGCUUAACCUGGGAAUUGCAUUCGAUACUGUCGAGCUAGAGUCUAGGAGAGGGAAGGGGAAUUCCGGGUGUAGCGGUGAAAUGCGUAGAUAUCCGGAGGAACACCAGUGGCGAAGGCGCCUUCCUGGCCUAAGACUGACGCUGAGGUGCGAAAGCGUGGGGAGCA